rnacentral:rRNA from 1 species
GAUGAACGCUAGCGGGAGGCCUAAUACAUGCAAGUCGAACGGUAACAGGUAGCAAUACGCUGACGAGUGGCGCACGGGUGCGUAACGCGUACACAAUCUGCCUUAUACUGGGGCAUAGCCUUUGGAAACGAAGAAUAAUUCCCCAUAACAUAUAGAAGAGGCAUCUCUUUUAUAUUAAAGCUCAGGCGGUAUAAGAUGAGUGUGCGUCCGAUUAGGUAGUUGGUGAGGUAACGGCUCACCAAGCCAACGAUCGGUAGCUGGUCUGAGAGGAUGAUCAGCCACACGGGCACUGAGACACGGGCCCGACUCCUACGGGAGGCAGCAGUAGGGAAUAUUGGACAAUGGGCGCAAGCCUGAUCCAGCCAUCCCGCGUGAAGGAUGAAGGUCCUCUGGAUUGUAAACUUCUUUUCUUCGGGAAUAAAAACUGGGGUUCUCCUCAGCUUGAAGGUACCGAAGGAAUAAGCACCGGCUAACUCCGUGCCAGCAGCCGCGGUAAAGU